AGUUCUUACUCUGGUCACGAAUUUUAUUCGGAACUGUCAGCUCGGAUUUGAUUGGUUGAAAAGCAUCAUUCAGAAGGAACCAAUAAAGAGAGAGGGGGAAUUCUGCAAAAAGUAAUAAACUAAAACAAAACCUGAAGGGUAUAAAUGUAAAAUUAAGUCCUUUUACUCUCUCCGGUUGAACUACCUAGAGAAAACCAUUUUAAAUAACAAUUUCAGAAGAUUUUAAAAAUUCAACUCUACCUAAAGACACCAUAAAAUGGCUCAUUAUUCCAUCAUCCAGGCUCCCCUGUUUCUCAGGCCUCCAGACUGAAGCUGAGUUAUACCACCAGCUCUCCUCGGUCUCCAGUUUGCAGACAACAGAUCAUGGGACUUCUCAGCCUCCAUAAUCACAGGAGUCAUAAUAAAUCUGUCUGCCCCC